rnacentral:lncRNA from 1 species
GCGCCGUUAAAGACAGAGCUCAUCCUGUUAGCUGUCCCUCUCAUCCCCGCCCCUGCAACCUGAGUUUCCCAGAUUCCUUACGUCCCGCAAUGUCCGAGUUGAUGCGCUGAAAGAGCAAAGAGAUCAAAAAAAGAAAGGUGGGAGAACCGCGCCACACAUUGGUUGGGAUAUUUAGGUUUUACAGCCGUUGGCGAAGGCAAUUUAGCAAUUAUCCAACCAUAGAAGUAACGUGCAUUCGGCCGGGCACGAUGGCUCACGCCUGUAAUCCCAGCAGUUCGGGAGGCCGGAGUGGGCGGAUCACGAGGUCAGGAGUUCGAGGCCAGCCUGGCCAACAUGGUGAAACCCCAUGUCUACUAAAAACACAAAAAUGACCGGCUGCGGUGGCUCUCGCCCGUAAUCCCAACACUUUGGGAGGCCAAGGCAGGCGGAUCAGGAGGUCAGGAAUUCAAGACCAGCAUGACCAACAUGGUGAAACCCCGCCUCUACUAAAAAAUACAAAAAUUAGCCAGGCGUGGUGGUGCGCACCUGUAAUCCCAGCUACUCAGGAGGCUGAGGCAGAAGAAUCGCUUGAACCCAGGAGGCGGAAGUUGCAGUGAGCAGAGGUCGCCCCAUUGUACUCCAGCCUGGGCGACAGAGCGAGACUCUGUCCCAAAAACAAAAACAAACAAAAAAACAUACACACAAAAAUUAGCUGGGCAUGGUGGUGGGCGCCUGUAGUCCCUGCUACUCAGGAGGCUGAGGCUGAUGAAUCACUUGAACCCUAGAGGCGGAGGUUGCAGUGAGCCGAGAUUGUGCCACUGCACUCCAGCCUGAGCGACAGAGCAAGACUCCGUCUAAAAAAAAAAAAAGAAAGAAAAGAAAGAAAGAAACAACAUGCAAUCACGGUGGAGCCGCAGUACACGUGUCAGAACCACCCAAUAAUCUGCAUGUUCGCACAUCAGUGUGUUCAGCCACCUACACUCCCGGCAGCGUUUCACAGCAGGAGACAGACAAGCACAUGCGACUCUGUACAGGGGUAAACAGGAGCGAUUCAGUAACAUGCUUCAUUCAUACGCACCAGGAAAUAGGAUGCAGUGUUUCCGAGAAGGAGGUAUAGAAACAUCUUCCACACUCAUCACUGACUGGGUGAAGCAACACGAACAAUGACUCCAACAUGAACACAUUUAUAUGAAUUUUGAAGGAAGACAAAAUGCCUUAAUCAUGUAUAUGUGUAUGUGUAUAUACAAAUAGACCUAUGUAUAUGUCCAUCUAUGCAAACAUAUACGUGUGUCUACGUAGAGAUUUGUCUAUAUUUGUAUCUGUGUCUAUCUCUAUAGAUCUAUGUCUCUGUAUCUCUACAUUUAGAUAUAGAUAUGAAGAUAUAGAUCUAUAUCUGUCUAUAUAUAAGAUCUUUGUACAUGUAUCUAUAUAGAGAGAUGUAUUUAUUUAUACAGAGAUAUCAAUAUAUAAAGGAGGAUACACCUCAAACUGGUAACAAUCGUUAUGCCUGGGAUCAGCCUUGUAUCUUUGCUGGGGUAUUUAUAGCUCACUUUAUUUAACUGUUUAAACAUUUUAUCAUUAAAUUGGAUCCUGU